rnacentral:tRNA from 1 species
UUAAUUUUAAAUAUUUUAAUAUUUUUAAAUUUGCAAUUUAAAUUUUACAAUUAAC